GAGCACUAGGAGGUUUUGGUGCCUGUGGAGGUGGGACUGUUGUUCCUUGUCGAAGUGGUCCAGGAGGAGGUGGAGGUGGCAUUGGCCUUGCUGCAGCACUUGUUUUUUGGCCUGGAGGUGGAGGGGGUGGAGGUGGCAUUGGCCUUGCUGCAGCACUUGGUUUUUGGCCUGGAGGUGGAGGGGGUGGAGGUGGCAUCGGCCUUGCUGCAGCACUUAUUUUUUGGCCUGGAAGUGGAGGGGGUGGCGGCGGCUUACUUGAAGCAGUGGCCACUGAUAAUGAAGGCAAGGG
rnacentral:lncRNA from 1 species